rnacentral:lncRNA from 1 species
AAAUCCCAGGGGAAAACAUUGCAAGAUCGGGGCUCUUCAAUGCUCUCUUGGGAAUGCAAGUCAGCACAAUAGCAGAAUCACUCUGCAGAGUGUUGAAAUUGCCACCCUAACUAAGGAAAUCCAAAGGAAAAUAAGGCCUGAAUAAGAACCUGGAAUCCUCCUGCUCUGAGCUGGAUCAAGGACCAAAGGGAAACCUACUGGUUGAGUUGUGCUACCAGCCACCCCCAGCAGAAGGAUAAAAGAUGUUCUGGGAAAGGAAAGAGACUAAUGGGUUUCUCCUUCUGGGCCAUCACCUUUCAAACAUCAUAGAAUGUCAACUCUAGCUUUCUGCAGAUAUGAUCAAAAAUAAGCCAGGAAGAUGGAUUUAUACCUGCCUCUUCCUCACACUUUUUUUUUUGUUCCAUGAUACAUAUUUGUAGGAAUAGAAGAGCAGAUCAAUAAACU